GGGGGUGCGGGCAGCUCGCGGGCGCCGGAGCCUCCGCGCUUGGGGUUUUCCGGUUGUGGUUAAACUCCUAAAUUCUCCAGCCUGACGCUGCGUCCCCAGCGGGCUCAGCCUGUGUGUGCUGUAGCCGUGCCUGGAACGCACACCUGGUGCCUCUUCGCGGGUGUCCACGGUGUAAGAAAGUAAAUGAAGUGUUCAAAGAGCAGCAUGGGCUGCAUGGGUACCCUGUCCACGUUGGCACCUGUGGCAAAUUGAGACUCUGUACAGUCAGCUGUGGAAGGAAGAAAGCCUGCAUUUGGUUUGUGGAUAGAUCUGUUUGGAGUAUGGAACAUGAAUGGAGACUGCGUUCUAGCCACGCUCAAAACUUGCAGACAGAGAAUAUCUUUCUGGUGGGCAGAGCUAUGAACAGUGAACUGGUCAUUUAUUUCAUGUAAAAGGAAAAAUGACCCAACAUCUGAAAAAGUGUAGAUUUUUUGGGCAGUGUCCAACAGCCUGGCCAUCUGGUCAAGGGUUUGGAAGGAAAAGAACUGGAGACUGGAAACACAGGAGACUAGGGAGGAGACCUGUGGAAGAAAGCGUGGGAGUGGGCGCAGGGUGAAGAGCUUUAUGCUACAUGCUAAUGGCCUCCAUGGAAGAGGCCCUGGAAACCCAAGUAAACUGGGCCAGUUGAAGUCAGCCUUCCUUAUCAGCCUUUGCACUUCUAAAUGGGUACACAAGAAUUCAGCAGCCUCAGUGGCAGAGAUGGAGGUUAUCAUGGGGCCAACAGCAAGGACUUCUACCUAUCAAGGCCUGUUUAGUCACUACUGCCUCUGACGGUCCAACCUGUCAGCAACAGACCAUUCUUUGAGAAUAACAGUCACCUUCUCAGUGGUAAGUUAUGUCCCCGGAAGAGCUGGUGGUUCAUCCUUACUAAAGACAGACAACUAUCUGGGGUAUAUACUUGCCUCUCUGUCUGGAGAGCCUCAGCCACUGCCACCACUAUCCAGGGGAGUAUAGAAUGCUGGAUCCAUGUGCACGGGAUUUUACACAACAAAUGUCUGACCAGAAAACUCACUUGAUAGAAUAGGGAGUGCCAGAGUGAGCACUGAUUAUAGGUCCACUGGUCUUAUAUACUGCAUUGCUACAUACCUGUAUUACCUAUGAAGAGCUGAAUUCAUGGAGUGUUGCAAUGAUCUCCUGAAUGUACAGAUAAGGUUUAGGCUGCUGAUGCCAACCUGCAAAAAUGAGGGGAGUCUUUUGAGAUGCAAUAUACACACUAAAGCACCCUGCUUCAUAGCAGUGUCUCCAACAGGAAGAGUAUAUAUAUCUAGGUCUAAGAAGCACAAGCAACAACACCUCCAUACCAUCAUAUUUAAUGACUUGCUCAGAAUUUUUGUCUUUCUUAUGCCUGGACUCUGUGUUCUGCGGCGUCCCCAGAAGGACAGCACACUUGUUAGGCAUCAAGGUAGGAAUUGUAUUAAACUUUAACUGUGACUGUCAAGUUCCAUUGGAUUGUGCCUGGGCAUCAGCAGAUAAGAAAUCACCAUACUGGCAUGGAUGAUUGACCCUGGUGAGUAGGAGGAGGCUUCUAUGCAAUGGGAAUAGAAAGGAAUUCAUGCAGAGCCCAGGCAAUCCUCUUUAGCACUUCCUAGUAUGUAUUCCAUUUACCCUUUGUUACUCUGGAUGCACACAUGUAGCAAUCCCGGACUGAGAAAGGUAUGACUUACAAAGUGGCCAGAUGCUUUUGGAAUGAAGGCUUGGUACACCACCAGGUAAGCCAUCGGGACCUACUGAUAUGAGAGGUGAGGGUGAGAGGAAUUUAGAAGAGAGCAGUGGAGAAGAUGAGAAAAAUUUGUGGCUGCAAGGCCACCUGCAGAGAUGGGCUGCUGUUGUCCAUUCUCUACCCCUUCCAAUACUACCUUUCAGGAAGAAAGACCCAUGGAGUUGCUCCCAAACACGUAUGAAGAAGAUGUUCUUUGCAAUUCAGGGGGAACUCGAGGUGGUCAGGGACAUGCGCCACUCGGAUCUUCCUACAAGAGAAUUUGCUUCAGGGAGUGGGGUUGUGGAACAGCCAGAAGCUCUGCAGUUUGGGAUUCCAACACUGCUUCUGUCCACAUGCAUCAUAGCUGGUGGCAGCAUGAUGGGAUGAUGAGAACCUGGCCACUGCUUCUGUGUGUCUCUCAUUUCUGACAGGUAAUUCUUUCUUUGCUCCUUCCUCAAGGCUGAAACUUCCCCAGAGUUACUGCACUGUGAUGUUCCUCUUCCUUCUUUCCUUUCAUCAGUUUCAGCCUGCAACGUAAUCCAAAGACUUUUCCUAACCUGUUCCUGCUUCCUGUGACCUUUAUCCCUCACAUGUGUUCACUCUGUUAAGUCUCUGGUGUGUCUACUUCUGGCCUAGCUUCUGCUUCCUGAAGGCCUGGACUGAUACACCCAUUGGUUUUGUGAACUUUAAUUACAUAUACACACACAUACACACGCACGUGCACUCGGGUCUUGGUCAAAGAGAAAUGGGAAGUCAAGUGCAGAACUUCCUAAAACUGAGUUGAAAUUCAAACCUCACAUACUGCAUUGCUGCAUACCUGUAUUAUCUAUGAAGAACUGACUUCAUGGAAUGAUGGAAUGAGCUCCUGAAGGCACAGAUAGUUCAAUUUGCUGAUGCCAAUCUGCAAAAAUGAGGUGGUGUCUUUCAGGAUGCAGUGUACACGCGAAAGCAAACUGCUGUAUAACAGUAUCUCUAACAAGGGAAAAAGAAUGAGGAAGCUUUCUAAAUACUGAUGUGGAUUGCCAAGAUCUAGUGGAUGGAGAAACAUGAUAUAGUAUAUUCAGUAUGUAAUAUUUUCUUGUAUGUAUGUAAGAACAAUUGAAGAUACAAAGAAAAAGAGAGUGGAAGAGGAAUGCUCCAUUGAAGAACAAUUGGAUGGUUCUUAUUUUGAAUCUUAAAAUUAUUUUGCUUCCUGCCUGUUGCUCAUUAAAUUGAAUUAGUGAUCUUUAGCAUCUUAGCAUUCUUAUUAUUUUUCUUACUUAAAAAUGAAUCCUGUAUGUGUGACUGAAUAGAACUGCCAGUUGGCAGAUGAUGCAAUAACAUGUGUAAAGCCAUGUGUGGACCGGUUGAAUUUUAGGACCCUCCAGAACUGCCUGGAUGACCCAGAUGGCAUGAGUGAUUUCUGAUUCAUCAACUGAUUGAGUAAUUCAUAGUUUGUCUACCUGACUGUGACAGAAAUGGUAGUUUAGAAACUUCCAGCUGGAUGCUGGUGUUGUCACUCAGCUGUAUUUGCUUGUCUGAAAGAUCUGCUAUUUCUAGAAGACAGUGUGCACUAUCACUCCCAUUCAGGUAACAGCCUAUGCUAAAUUAUACCUGAGUUCCAUACCUUAUGCCCAUACUGAAUAUUCCUUCAGGACUGAUACUUCAUCAAGGAAAAGAUAAGAAUCACUUGGUGAGCAUUUUUAAAAGAUGACCAUGCCGCAGCCCCGGCAAAGUCUCUGAGUACAGUCCCAUCCCACAGACAGUAUUGUGAGAACUUCCUCUAGUGAAGUAUGAUUGGAAAAUACAGUCAACGUGGCUGCCACGUGCCAUCCAAUGAAAAGGCAGGGAUUUUUAAUAUGAGAGAAGUGGCAUGCUGCACCUUGGUGACAAUGUGUGACAAAUUUCAACUUGUUUGGUGCAGUUGGUUGUGAGCUACAACCGAGAGAAAGUGUGUUUUGAAAAGUACCAAAAUCAUGGAUCCCAAGUAGCACAUUUCAAUGGAGUUGUGUGGCUGUGCUGCUUCAGAUUCGAGCUUUUUAAGAAAUGUCAUCAUGGGCGAGGAGACUUGGGUUCAUGGUUAUGAUUCUGAGACCAAGAUGCAGAGUUCUCCAUGGAGACCACCCAGUUCUCCUCUUGAGAAAAAUGUGCAUCAAUCAAAAUUCAAUACCAACAUGACAUUGAUCAUGUUUUUUGACCUUGAUGGAACUGUGUGAGGUGAGUUUGUACCCAGGAGCACCAUGGUAAACUCUGGGUACUGUAAGGGCUGUUAGAAUGUUUAAGAAACGAUGUGUGUAGAAAACGGCCUGAGAAGUGGGCAGUUCUGUGCUCCAUCGCGACAAUGCUCUGCGUCACACAUUGCUUCCAGAAUGGCAAUUUCUGCCAAAAACAUCAUGCUCUGUCCUCAUCUAUCUUAUUCGCUGGAUCUCAGCUCCUGCAACUUGUGGCUAUUCUCCGAAGUCAGAAUGACCAUGAAAGGUAAAUGCUUUGAGUCAGUUUGGGACAUUGAGGCAGUCCAAGCAGAGUAACGAAAGAUACUCAGACAAGAGGACUUCCAGAACUGCUGCAGAAAGUGGCCAGGAUGAUAGAAUAAGUAAGUGUGUCUGAAGGGGGGGUAUUUUGAGGAGGCUUAAUGGCAAUGUAACUUUUAUUGUAAUACAUUUAAAAAGUCUAUUAACAUUCACUGUGUUUUUUAAAUCAUACUUCACAUUUCUCUGAUGAAGUCAUUCCCAAGGAACAACCUCUAGAACUCCCCUGUGACAGUCACCAGUGGGUACUUGAUGAAUUCGGAUGCCCUGGGUUUGGCCUGGGGCUCAGCAAUCUGUUUUAAAUACAUACUAGGUGCUCUUCAGGGAAACGUUACCUAGUGCGGGCUACCAUGGAUUCUAUCAGCUGACCAAAUACGUUCAGAGUUGCUUGGUACUAAUGAUCCUAAUCCGAUUUCAUCUUUUUUUGCAUGAAUUCUCUCUCAAAGUGUUUCUUGAAUUGUAAACAAUAUCUUCCUUGUCAUUUUACAACAAAAUUAAAAGUGCUGGAACUCAUAACCUGGGCUAAGCCUGAAGAACUGCCCCUGAGCUAACACACAACAAGGUAUCCCCCACCCCACCUUGUGGUUUUGUGGUUUUCUCGCCACUUUACAAUUGUAGCUUUAAUCUGCCAGGUUUCACAUGGCCCUGUGCUUGCUGGGCAUGGUGCUGCUGAGCACACUGACCUGCCCCUGCUCCUGAAUGUCAGCUCCUGGAGGAGUUGGUGUUCUGUUGUCACUUCCUGGAGGUUCGGAGUAGUGUGAGACAGGGAAAGUUGAAGGCUGAAUAUAAGGGAAGAGAAUGCAUCCAAAUGAUCUUAGGACCACCUCUUCAAGACGUUUUUCAAGGCGCUCUUUAAAAUUAAAGGAAAAAACCAUUACUAUGAUUAUGAGUAAAUAGUUCAGUGACUGCUAAGUCAUAUUUAUAUAUCUAUCUAUCUUAUAUAGAUAGAUAUAUAUCUUAUAUAUAUAUAUAUCUUAAAAGCUGAUCUGUCCAAGAAGUAGCUGAAUUUUGCUAAAUAAAUCUAUAGUCUUUGAAGUCGUUUUCGUACUGGUUACACUGGAUAUUUUGUCAAUGAUUAGUGUCCAAGGAAGCUGUCUACAAGUGAUAUUUUGGUUUAUGAUUUUCUUUCAUCUCAAAGGCCACCCGAUUUUUUCUCAAAAAUGUAUCCAUUUAAGUUGUUCCGUAUUAAUGUAAUCCAUUAAUUAAAAGAUUCUAAUAUGUUAGAGGUCUUUCCUCCUCUUUGCAGUUAUUUUAGUGAUCUUAUAUAAAAUCCUCAGGUUUUCCUUUGUUCAGACACUAUGUAUGUAGCAACUGACUUCUGAAUGGAAUACCUUGCAGCAGGUAUAAGGUCAUUAACUCCCUGACCUUAUGAAACUUACAGUUAAAGGAUGAAUACUAAAUCAAUUUAUCAGUGUAAAUUGGUGUGUUACUGAAGGAAAAUAGUGCUAUUCAAGAAGAAUAGCAAAAGAUCUCUUAAUAGGGAAGGUUUUAAU